UACGAAGGGUCCAAGCGUUAUCCGGAUUUAUUGGGUUUAAAGGGUGCGUAGGCGGCUUAUUAAGUCAGUGGUGAAAGCCUUCAGCUCAACUGAAGAACUGCCAUUGAUACUGAUGAGCUUGAAUAUACUUGAGGUUGGCGGAAUGUGUCAUGUAGCGGUGAAAUGCUUAGAUAUGACACAGAACACCGAUUGCGAAGGCAGCUAGCUAAAGUAUGAUUGACGCUGAUGUACGAAAGCGUGGGGAGCAAACAGG
rnacentral:rRNA from 1 species